AGAGUUUGAUCAUGGCUCAGAAUGAACGCUGGCGGCGUGCUUUACACAUGCAAGUCGAGCGAGGCGGGGGGCAACCCCCAGUCGAGCGGCGAACGGGUGAGUAACGCGUGGAUGACCUGCCCUUCAGCGGGGAAUAACCCGGGGAAACUCGGGCUAAUACCGCAUACGACCGAGAGGUGAAAGGGGGCCGCAAGGCUCCUACUGAAGGAGGGGUCCGCGUUCGAUUAGCUAGUUGGUAGGGUAAUGGCCUACCAAGGCGACGAUCGAUAGCCGGCCUGAGAGGGUGAUCGGCCACACUGGAACUGAGACACGGUCCAGACUCCUACGGGAGGCAGCAGUGGGGAAUUUUGCGCAAUGGGCUAACGCCUGACGCAGCAACGCCGCGUGGAGGAUGAAGGUCUUCGGAUCGUAAACUCCUGUCAGCAGGGAAAAAGCGACACGACCUAAUACGUCGUGGAGUUGAUUGUACCUGCAGAGGAAGCCCCGGCUAACUCUGUGCCAGCAGCCGCGGUAAUACAGAGGGGGCAAGCGUUAUUCGGAAUUAUUGGGCGUAAAGGGCGCGUAGGCGGCUUUGCAAGUGACGGGUGAAAGCCCUCGGCUUAACCGAGGAACUGCCUGUCAGACUGUGAGGCUUGAGACCGGGAGAGGUGAGUGGAAUUCCCAGUGUAGCGGUGAAAUGCGUAGAUAUUGGGAGGAACAC
rnacentral:rRNA from 1 species